CGUCUAUAUACGUAUAGCAUAUCAAUAAGCGGAGGAAAAGAAACUAACAAGGAUUCCCUUAGUAACGGCGAGUGAAGCGGGAAGAGCUCAAAUUUGAAAUCUUCAAGGUUUUACCUUGACGAAUUGUAGUUUAAAGAAGUGUUUUCUGUUGGAGUUUUGGUAAAAGUUCUUUGGAAUAGGACAUCAUAGAGGGUGAGAAUCCCGUAUUUGACCAUUUCUUCCAGCUGUGUGAUACACUUUCAAAGAGUCGGAUUGUUUGGGAAUGCAGUCCAAAAUGGGUGGUAAAUUUCAUCUAAAGCUAAAUAUUGGCGAGAGACCGAUAGCGAACAAGUACCGUGAGGGAAAGAUGAAAAGAACUUUGAAAAGAGAGUUAAACAGUACGUGAAAUUGUCAAAAGGGAAGCGUUUGACACCAGUGUUGUUUUCUCGAAAAUCAAUUAAAAUGAUGGGAUUUUGUGUUGUAUUGACUUUAUCAGCUUUCUGCACUUUUUUCUUGAUCUUUUUUAAUGCACUUUUCGUUUAACAAGUCAACAUCAAUUUCUUUUGUUGUAAAAGAGGUCAUUGAGGAAGGUGGCUUUCAUUUCGGUGAAAGCGUUUAUAGCCUUUGACUUCUGCAAUCGGAGAGAUUGAGGUCUGCAGCGUAGAUCCUUCGGGGUUAGAUACAUUUGUGCUAAGCUUAUAGUUCUUUCAUAGACAACUUGUUGACUAUGAUUCAAUCCUGUAAGCUUACUCGCUUAUGCUAUUUUACCUACGCUUAGGAUGUUGAUAUGCAUGACUGAUAU
rnacentral:rRNA from 1 species